rnacentral:rRNA from 1 species
GAUGAACGCUAGCUACAGGCUUAACACAUGCAAGUCGAGGGGAAACGACAUUGAAGCUUGCUUCGAUGGUCGUCGACCGGCGCACGGGUGAGUAACGCGUAUCCAACCUGCCUCUGACCAAGGGAUAACCCGUCGAAAGUCGGCCUAAUACCUUAUGCAGUCGUCGGAAGUCAUCUGAUGACGACGAAAGAUUUCAUCGGUGAGAGAUGGGGAUGCGUCUGAUUAGCUUGUUGGCGGGGUAACGGCCCACCAAGGCAACGAUCAGUAGGGGUUCUGAGAGGAAGGUCCCACACAUUGGAACUGAGACACGGUCCAAACUCCUACGGGAGGCAGCAGUGAGGAAUAUUGGUCAAUGGGCGAGAGCCUGAACCAGCCAAGUAGCGUGCAGGAUGACGGCCCUAUGGGUUGUAAACUGCUUUUAGGCGGGGAUAAAGUGAGGGACGUGUCCUUCAUUGCAGGUACCGCAUGAAUAAGGACCGGCUAAUUCCGUG